rnacentral:rRNA from 1 species
ACUCAAAGGAAUUGACGGGGGCCCGCACAAGUGGUGGAGCAUGUGGUUUAAUUCGACGCUACGCGAAGAACCUUACCCAGGUUUGAAAUUCACAGGAAGCAUGCAGAGAUGUAUGUGCCCCGCAAGGGGCCUGUGGACAGGUGCUGCAUGGUUGUCGUCAGCUCGUGCCGUGAGGUGUUGGGUUAAGUCCCGCAACGAGCGCAACCCUUAUCCUUAGUUGCCAUCGGGUGAAGCCGGGCACUCUGGGGAGACUGCCGCCAUAAGGCGGAGGAAGGUGGGGAUGACGUCAAAUCAGCAUGGCCCUUACAUCUGGGGCUACACACGUGCUACAAUGGUCGGUACAACGGGCUGCGAGACCGCGAGGUGGAGCGAAUCCCUUGAAAGCCGAUCUCAGUUCGGAUUGCAGGCUGCAAUUCGCCUGCAUGAAGUCGGAAUCACUAGUAACCGCAGAUCAGCUACGCUGCGGUGAAUGCGUUCCCGGGCCUUGUACACACCGCCCGU